GUCCCGGCCCUAAACUGUGCGCAUUUGCUGUGAGCGGAAUCGACCCCGCUCGUGGCGGAGCUAACGCGUUAAAUGCGCCGCCUGGGGAGUACGGCCGCAAGGUUAAAACUCAAAGAAAUUGACGGGGGGCCUGCACAAGCGGUGGAGUAUGUGGCUUAAUUCGAUGCAACGCGAAGAACCUUACCUGGCCUUGACAUGCAGAUAGUAGAAGCCUGAAAGGGUGACGAUUCCGCAAGGAAAGUCUGCACAGGUGCUGCAUGGCUGUCGU
rnacentral:rRNA from 1 species